rnacentral:tRNA from 1 species
GCCGAUGUGGCUCAGUGGUAGAGCGGCGCACUCGUAAUGCGUAGGCCAGGGGUUCAAAUCCCCUCAUCGGCU